GCGCUUAUUCGGUCGGUUGAAGACGUUAGAUGAAGCGCGCGAGAGAGAGGACAGACAGAGCUCUGUGAUUGGCUGGGAGAAGCCUCGCGUCAUCAGUGGAGUUUCACAGCCACCAUUUUGUUCUUUCAGAGAAAAACGCGGGCUAAAACACUGGUGGAAACUAUCUUAAAGUAAAGCUAAACUUCACAGAGCCAGCUGCUAAUUUUAAAUCAGAAAUGUUCUCAACUUGUAUUCCGAAAAUGGAGGACACAAAAGGGACAUGGUGGCAGCAGCAGCAGUGACAGGCGACUGGAGGCAGGUGGAGCUGCAGGCCCUCAGGAGAGUGAGAUCGUGGUCCCCUCAGUUCAACAUCAACUGUGCCGCUGCUGCAAGAUCUGCAGGGAGACCUGUGCUGCCCUACUCCGUUCCACUGCCCACAACCAGCGCAUCGCGGACUGUCACCGGACACCAGGUCCUGAAUAGAAACCAGGUCAAAAAGUUUGGUUAUCUGCCAUCAAUAUUCCCCUCGAGGCCGACUCCCGGAAACUGGCUGCCCGGUUCAUUGGCCCAUAUAUUGUGGAAGAGAUCAUCGAUGACCAUCCUGCCUACAUGUUCCGACAGCUGCUGGACAUGCACUGCUGAGGCCAGGUCUCCAUUACCUCUGGAGUGGGAGGCAUAUGGUACAGAGGAACGCUCUUGGAUUCCACGAUCAUUGAUCAUGGACAAUCAGCUAAUCAAGGACUUCCCCUUGCUACAUCCUGACAAACCUGUUGGGUCUCCAGGGGGCUCCGAUUGGUUGGGUUCAUUCCUCCCACCUGCCUCCGAGUUACUCACCAGCUCUCCAGAAAGAUCUCACCACGGAUCCUCCGCUGCUCCACCUCAGCCUGCUGUCCUCGCUCCGCCUACCUGCUCUCACCAGACUCUUGCCAGCCCACUGUCUUCACCCAGUCCACCAGCUCACGACGAUUAUUUCCACACACCUGGAGAGUGAGAUCGUGGUCCCCUCAGUUCAACAUCAACUGUGCCGCUGCUGCAAGAUCUGCAGGGAGACCUGUGCUGCCCUACUCCGUUCCACUGCCCACAACCAGCGCAUCGCGGACUGUCACCGGACACCAGGUCCUGAAUAGAAACCAGGUCAGAAAGUUUGGUUAUCUGCCAUCAAUAUUCCCCUCAAGGCCGACUCCCGGAAACUGGCUCCCCAGUUCAUUGGCCCAUAUAUUGUGGAAGAGGUCAGUAACCCCUCAGCGGUCAAAUUAAAACUUCCUCGUACCACGAGAAUCCACCCCACAUUCCAUGUCUCACAAAUCCAUCUGUCCUCCACCCGUCCAGAUCAUCGAUGACCAUCCUGCCUACAUGGUCCGACAGCUGCUGGACAUGCACUGCUGAGGCAGGGGUCUCCAGUACCUCGUGGACUGGGAGGCAUAUGGUACAGAGGAACGCUCUUGGAUUCCACGAUCAUUGAUCAUGGACAAUCAGCUAAUCAAGGACUUCCCCUUGCUACAUCCUGACAAACCUGUUGGGUCUCCAGGGGGCUCCGAUUGGUUGGGUACUGUCAUGGUACAGUUGUACCAUUCCUAGUGUCUCUGUCUGUUUGUCCUCUGUUGGUUCCCCUCCUGUGUUUGUCUGUGUGUGUGUGUGUGUGUGUGUGUGUGUGUGUGUGUGUGUGUGUGUGUGCAUGCUGGCGGGGCGCGGCCUCGGGUAAACUUCCAGUCAGAGACUGACACACCUGCUACUCAUCUGCUGCUGCUCACCUGCUCUCCAUCCACCAAUCAACACCUGGCAGUAAAUAUACCCGGUUUUUCUCACCGGUCUUCGCCAGAUCGUCCGUUUACCCAAGUGGUUCAUUCCUCCCACCUGCCUCCGAGUUACUCACCAGCUCUCCAGAAAGAUCUCACCACGGAUCCUCCGCUGCUCCACCUCAGCCUGCUGUCCUCGCUCCGCCUACCUGCUCUCACCAGACUCUUGCUAGCUCACGACGAUUAUUUCCACACACCUGGUUAUUCCUUGUGUUUUACAAUAAACUGAAACUAACUACUUCUA